AUUGAACGCUGGCGGCAUGCCUUACACAUGCAAGUCGAACGGCAGCAUGAUCUAGCUUGCUAGAUUGAUGGCGAGUGGCGAACGGGUGAGUAAUACAUCGGAACGUGCCCUGUAGUGGGGGAUAACUAGUCGAAAGAUUAGCUAAUACCGCAUACGACCUGAGGGUGAAAGUGGGGGACCGCAAGGCCUCAUGCUAUAGGAGCGGCCGAUGUCUGAUGAGCUAGUUGGUGAGGUAAAGGCUCACCAAGGCGACGAUCAGUAGCUUGGCUGAGAGGACGAUCAGCCACACUGGGACUGAGACACGGCCCAGACUCCUACGGGAGGCAGCAGUGGGGAAUUUUGGACAAUGGGGGCAACCCUGAUCCAGCAAUGCCGCGUGUGUGAAGAAGGCCUUCGGGUUGUAAAGCACUUUUGUCCGGAAAGAAAUCGCACUUACUAAUAUUAGGUGUGGAUGACGGUACCGGAAGAAUAAGGACCGGCUAACUACGUGCCAGCAGCCGCCGUAAUAC
rnacentral:rRNA from 1 species